rnacentral:rRNA from 1 species
CCUACGGGAGGCAGCAGUGAGGAAUAUUGGUCAAUGGUCGGGAGCCUGAACCAGCCAAGCCGCGUGAAGGAAGAAGGUACUGAGUAUUGUAAACUUCUUUUGUCGGGGAACAAAGGCGGAGACGCGUCUCCGGAUGAGUGUACCCGAAGAAAAAGCAUCGGCUAACUCCGUGCCAGCAGCCGCGGUAAUACGGAGGAUGCGAGCGUUAUCCGGAUUUAUUGGGUUUAAAGGGUGCGCAGGCGGGAGAUCAAGUCAGCGGUAAAAGGUCGGGGCUCAACCCCGGCCGGCCGUUGAAACUGGUUGUCUCGAGUUGGAGAGAGGUAUGCGGAAUGCGUGGUGUAGCGGUGAAAUGCAUAGAUAGCGCGCAGAACUCCGAUUGCGAAGGCAGCAUACCGGCUCCAUACUGACGCUGAGGCACGAAAGCGUGGGGAUCGAACAGGAUUAGAUACCCGAGUAGUC